UACGGAGGGUGCAAGCGUUGCUCGGAUUUAUUGGGCGUAAAGGGUAGGUAGGUGGUGGCAUAAGUCUAUAGGUGAAAUCCCUGAGCUCAACUCAGGACGUGCCUUAGAAACUAUGCUCACUAGAGUACUAGAGAGGUUCGUGGAAUUCCUGGUGUAGCGGUGAAAUGCGUAGAGAUCAGGAGGAACAUCAGCGGCGAAGGCGGCGAACUGGAUAGUAACUGACACUCAACUACGAAAGCGUGGGGAGCAAACAGG
rnacentral:rRNA from 1 species